GGGAUGGGCUGGGGGUAGUUAUUGCGCGUAGAUAAUUGUAGGUGUUAAUUAGCGCUUUAAUAACUUGAGGGGGGGUAUUCAAGCGAUGGGUGUUUUGGGAGAGUAUAAUUAUUGUGUGAGCUCAGUUAUGGUGUACGUGAGGCGGAUGGGGGGUUAAUUAAUGAGGUCCCGAAGGGGGUAAUUAGCUGAGGGAAUGGGGACUGGGAAGUUCAGUUUCUCCAGGGAGGGGGGAGGCAGAGAACAGCGCCCCCUGGCGGAGGGAGGGGGAACGGGCGUCUUUGUGAGGCUGGGGGGGGUAAUUAGCGGGGAGGGUUAAUGAGCGGGAAUAGCGAGUUCGGGGCGAGCUGUGGGGCAGGCAGCGGGUGGGGGGGCAGUUAUGGAGCUGCUCUUGGGGCACUUGUGGGGCGGGGGGGCGGUUAGCGGGGACUUGGGGGGCACGGCUGUGGGGCUGCUUGAGAGACGUUGGGCAGCGCCAGGGAUCAGUUCAAGCUGCGGUUGUGGGGCAGUGUCGGGGUUGGGGGCUGGUUGUGGGGCAGGUCUUGGGGCCAGUUGUGGGGCAAACGAUGGAGGCGUUUAGCAGCUAAUCUUAGGGGAGGAGUUAUGGGGCAGAUUUCAGGGACGAUCAUUGGGACCGGGGGGUGGAGAAAGUUAUGGGGCAGUUGUUGGGUGUCUUUAACAGUAUCGUACAGGUGGUUGUAGGGCAGGAGUGGGGCUCUGGGGUGCAGUUAUGGGGCACUGAUCCCCCCCCAGAAGCCAGCAGUUUCCAUUAUAGAGCAGAUGUGGGGCUCUGGGGUGCAGUUAUGGGGCACUGAUCCUCCUCCAGGGCCUAGCACCCCUGUUAUAGAACAGGUGUGGGGCCUUGGGGCGCAGUUAUGGGGCACUGACCCCCCCCCCCCAGAGCCUAGCAGCCCUCGUUAUGGGGCAGAUAUGGGGGUUUUGGGUGCAGUUCUGGGGCACUGGUCUCCUGUUCUCUCUCCCCAGAGCCCAGCAGCCCCCAUUAAAGAGCAGAUGUGGGGCUCUGGCGUGCAGCUAUGGGGCGCUGACCCCCUCAGAGCCUGGCAGCCCCCAAUAGUGAGCAGAGCCCAGCAGCCCCAUGGCGGCGGCGGCCCCGGGCGGGGGGUCCCCGCUGCCCCCCCCCGCGUUGACGCCGCGCUGGAAGCGGGUGGUGGGGUGGUCGGGGCCCGUCCCCCGCCCCCGGCACGGGCACCGCGCCGUGGCCAUCAAGGAGCUGAUCGUGGUGUUCGGCGGCGGCAACGAGGGCAUCGUGGAUGAGCUGCACGUCUACAACACCGNGACCUGAGGGUGGGUUUUGAGCUCCCAUAGGGGCUCAUGGGGCUGGGGGGGUCAGGGCAGCCCCUAAGGACGUGGGGUGCCCAGUGGUCCAUACAGACUUGGGCGGGGGGGAAGGGAUAGGGUCCUAGAGCGGCCCUGGGGGCCCCAUAGGGACCUGUGGGACUGGGGGGGGUCCGUGGGGCGCCUUUGGUUCCGGGUUUGGGGCGUUUUGGGGGGUCCCGUAAUCAUCAAUGGGACUGGGAGGGGGCAGAGGGACUGGGGGGGGUCCUGAGGAUCCGUACGGAUGUGUGGGAUUAACGAUCCCGGGCUGGGGGAUGGGGGGGGAACGGGGACCACAGGGACCCAUGGGAUCGGGGGUCUCAGAGGGACUGGGAGUUCGUGGGGAUCUAUAGGGACCCGUGAACCGGAGGGGGGGGGCGGGGCCCCCAAGAGCCCGCGGGGUUCCCAUGCGGGGAUCCGUGGACUCUCCCCCCUCCACGCAGCCCCGUGGGACCCCACGGCGAAUCCGCCCCCCCCCCACCCCCCAUAGCAGUGACGUCACCAUAGCACGGCCCCUCUCCCCGCGCGCACCACCACCCCGUGACGUCACGAAAGGGGCGGGGCUCCCGGAAACGCCGUUUUCCCGCCGCCCGCUGACCACGCCCCCUCCGACGGCCGUGCCCAUGGCAACCGAGGGGGCGGUGCCAAACCGCUCCCAAGAUGGCGGCCUUAAAGGGGCCGCGCCCCGCUAAUUCGUCCCGCAGCGCCCAGUGGGGUCCGCGUGUCCCCAGUGUCACCGCGGGGGUGGGGGUCCCGGGGACACGGGGGUGGUGGGGGGAGAGGGUGAAGCGUUUGGGGGAAAUUGGGGCGGUUUUGGGUCACAUUGUGUGUGCAGGAGUCACCUUGGAGGGGGGGGUCAGGGGCCUCUCCGUGGGACGUUACGGCUUCUAGGGUGUGGGAGGAGUGGGCGGUUUGGGGUCACCCGAGGGCUUGGGGGGCCCUGGGGGUGGUAGGGCGCAAUGGGGGGGUUGGGAUGUGGGGGAUCCCGGGGGGCUUGGGGGAAAACACGGCGAUUUGGGUGGCAGCUGGGGAAGGGGGGGACGUUGGGCACCUCAAAGGAAUGUGGGGCACCUGGGGGGGGGAAUUGGGCGCACAGUGUGGGGAGAACAGCGGGGUUGGGGGCACCCCGGGCAGUGUUGAGGCUCCUGAAGGGAUCUGGGCGCAAAUUGGGGGGGGGGAGGCUUUAUGACGCCCAGUGGUUGCGGUUUUGGGGCAAAUUGAAGCUCUUUUCGGCUCUCACCCCCCCCCACCCUCUCCCGCCCCACGGCGGCGGUUCGGGGCCACCCCCAGAGGCGGAGCCACGGCGGGGACCGGGGCUGAGGGCAGCGGCCGGCGCCUCCCAACGGCGCCCGUAGAGCGGGGACACGGCCCAUGGGGUGCAGUCCCGACCCCGCGGCCCUCCCUGGCUCCGUCCCGCGGCCCGCUGUCCCCCUCACCGUGCGGUCCCCGCGCGGGGCUGUGGCGGAGCCCCGGAGCGCGCUCCGCCCGCGGGGACGGCGGCGCCCAAAAUGGCGGCGGCGCUGAGGGAAGACUGAGGGGACCCCACGGGGACCGCCCGGAUCUCCCCUUAAACCGCGUUCCCGGGGGGAACCAUGAGGAGAAGUGGGGGCGAAUCGAGGAGAAGGAGGGAAAAAAACUCGAAAUUAGGGUGUCUGAGUAAAAAUAGGCGAAGAUGAAGCACUGCGCAUGCGCAAUAAACUUUGGGCGGGAAACA
ensembl:lncRNA